UCAAUUGACAAGACUUUUGGUAAACUUACCAAGAAAGACUCGUUCAAUUUACGACCAAGUGGGUUAAAAUUUUUUCUUUUUUUAAAUUAAAAAUCAUAAGCGUCAUAGUCAUCAUAAGCGAAGAAAGGCAACCACAGGCAAUCAUAUUUGGGAAAGGACGUGACAUGGAAAUUAGUGUAUUUUUAAUAGUAAACACUGCCCUCCUUUCCGUCCUCACCCAUCUGACUUAUUAUUUUCGGGGGUUAGGCUGGUACAGGAUAGGACGGGGCACGUACUGGCAGGCUACUUAAACAAACAAAAAAAAUCCCGGAGGCAAACUCCUGUAAAGCGAGCUAUGAGUGUGUCAGCAAGUCUGAGAGUGACAAAGCAGAACAUCCUCCUCCUCCUCCUCCUCCAUAUGAUCUCCUGAACUUGGCGCGUCCUGGCUCAUGUAGACUGAGGCUUUGCCUUUAAAAGCUCAAGCGUGGACCGGUGAACACAUAGUCAGCGUGCUCCGCGUCUGAAACACAUUACCUUCAACCGAGAAGCGUUUGACUGAGGGCACAUCACCGACCAUGAGCUCUUCACGCAGCGUGGGACUUUAUCUGACGCUUUUACUCGCUCUUCUGUGCGAUGCAUCGGAAGGUAAAUGCAACUUUUCAGGUCUGCGUCACGCUAAUGUGUUCAUGUCGUUUGCACGGAACAUAGCUCAGACACGGAUCACUUUUGCAUAUUAUACCUUAUGAUCAGAAAUGAAGCGAAGGAAUAUAGCUAAAUUACCAGGGCGUUCACGACAGUGUAGAAAUGAUUUAUUGUUUAUUUGUCAUGUUUUGUAAGGCAGUGUUUGUUUGUGAACAGCUUUUUCCCCCAUGGAUACAUAAAAACAUGCGCGCAGAUGUUCUGAAUCCUGUUUUUUUCCCCCUAUUGAUUAAUGCCAAUGUGUGUGCUACUUUUCCAGACCCUCCUGUCCAAAAGGAAGUUACUGACACAGGGAUUGAUAAAGAUGGCCUUCAGCAUGAGUUGCCACUUAACCCUAAGGGUAAGGCCAUGAUCAGUGAUUGAUUUGACCUGUUGAUCAAUCAGUUGGUUUAUAUUUCUAAUGGAUAUGUGUUUUGAUUAGUUAAAAUAAGUAUGUUGACUUAAGAGGCAAAAUGUGAUAUUUGCAUCUGUAGCUGUUAAUUGUGUCCACAAAAAAUGUACAAUUAAAAAAAUAAAAUAAACACUUGUGUCUUAUUUCAGUGCUGGACGUUUUGAUGAUGCAGAAACCGAUCAUCCCUGACCCUUCCAAAGUAAUAUUGUUUAUUGUUUAUUGUUAAUUUGGAUCCCCAUUAGCUUCCACAAAGUGGUUGCUAAUCUUCCUGGGGUCCACAGAGUUACACAAUACAAAAAAUCAUUCAAACAAAUAAAAUAAUAACAAAAAUACAAUUGCUAAUCCAGUCACAUCACAAAACUAUACCCAUACAUAUUAAUAGUAGCAGCACAAACAGAAGUACGUCUAUACCUUUAACAACAUGUUUACACAAUUUCUUUUGAACACAUGUGUUGAAUUACUUUUACGUAUAUUUAUAGGAACAACAUUCCAAGCAGCAGAGCCUCGAUAAAAUACAGUCUUUUUCAACAAAUUUGAUUGUGGACAUGGUAAAAACAGUUGAGACUUACUCACUUGACGUGUUUUAUGAUCGUGUCUAAAACCAACAUAUACAAGCUUUUCAAAGAAAAAACAUGGUGUAUGAUACUUGAUUACCUUAUAAAAAUAUACCAGCACUCGUAAAGUUGGUUUUAGACACGAUCAUAAAACACGUCAAGUGAGUAAGUCUCAACUGUUUUUACCAUGUCCACAAUCAAAUUUGUUGAAAAAGACUGUAUUUUAUCGAGGCUCUGCUGCUUGGAAUGUUGUUCCUAUAAAUAUACGUAAAAGUAAUUCAACACAUGUGUUCAAAAGAAAUUGUGUAAACAUGUUGUUAAAGGUAUAGACGUACUUCUGUUUGUGCUGCUACUAUUAAUAUGUAUGGGUAUAGUUUUGUGAUGUGACUGGAUUAGCAAUUGUAUUUUUGUUAUUAUUUUAUUUGUUUGAAUGAUUUUUUGUAUUGUGUAACUCUGUGGACCCCAGGAAGAUUAGCAACCACUUUGUGGAAGCUAAUGGGGAUCCAAAUUAACAAUAAACAAUAAACAAUAAUGGAUCAUCACCAUCAGACAGAUCAGUGUGUGACAUCAAAGUACCGUGUGAGCUAUAGAGAGCAGACGGCUCCUUAUAUGCUUUUGAAUCUCUAUCACGGUACUUUGAUGUCAUACACUGAUGAUGAUCUUCUU
rnacentral:lncRNA from 1 species